rnacentral:snRNA from 1 species
UUUUAAAGGAUUUACAAGAGAU